GCAGGCGCAUGCUACCAUGCAGUCGUACGGUGAACACGGAGCUUGCUCUGUGGGAUCAGUGGCGAACGGGUGAGUAACACGUGAGCAACCUGCCCCUGACUCUGGGAUAAGCGCUGGAAACGGCGUCUAAUACUGGAUAUGUGACGUGACCGCAUGGUCUGCGUCUGGAAAGAAUUUCGGUUGGGGAUGGGCUCGCGGCCUAUCAGCUUGUUGGUGAGGUAAUGGCUCACCAAGGCGUCGACGGGUAGCCGGCCUGAGAGGGUGACCGGCCACACUGGGACUGAGACACGGCCCAGACUCCUACGGGAGGCAGCAGUGGGGAAUAUUGCACAAUGGGCGCAAGCCUGAUGCAGCAACGCCGCGUGAGGGAUGACGGCCUUCGGGUUGUAAACCUCUUUUAGCAGGGAAGAAGCGAAAGUGACGGUACCUGCAGAAAAAGCGCCGGCUAACUACGUGCCAGCAGCCGCGGUAAUACGUAGGGCGCAAGCGUUAUCCGGAAUUAUUGGGCGUAAAGAGCUCGUAGGCGGUUUGUCGCGUCUGCUGUGAAAUCCGGAGGCUCAACCUCCGGCCUGCAGUGGGUACGGGCAGACUAGAGUGCGGUAGGGGAGAUUGGAAUUCCUGGUGUAGCGGUGGAAUGCGCAGAUAUCAGGAGGAACACCGAUGGCGAAGGCAGAUCUCUGGGCCGUAACUGACGCUGAGGAGCGAAAGGGUGGGGAGCAAACAGGCUUAGAUACCCUGGUAGUCCACCCCGUAAACGUUGGGAACUAGUUGUGGGGUCCAUUCCACGGAUUCCGUGACGCAGCUAACGCAUUAAGUUCCCCGCCUGGGGAGUACGGCCGCAAGGCUAAAACUCAAAGGAAUUGACGGGGACCCGCACAAGCGGCGGAGCAUGCGGAUUAAUUCGAUGCAACGCGAGAACCUUACCAAGGCUUGACAUAUA
rnacentral:rRNA from 1 species